UCCCCUGCAUCGGCAGGCGGACUCCCAACCACUGCGCCACCAGGGAAGCCCCUGGCUGAGGUUUUGACCUCUGGUCUUGUUUAGGGAGAUUGGCUCCGGGGACAAUGGCUCUGAGGGGCACAUUCUAGUCCCAGCCUUUCUUGGGUCAUGCCUGGCUCUGGCUCUGUCACCUCUGCAGUUGUCUUGGGGUUGUGCCUUUGUUUCUGUUGUGUGUACAUGCCGUUUGUGUGUGCACAUGUGCAAGGUGUUGUGUGUGUAAAUUUCUCUGUGCACGCGCAUCUCUGUUUCUGUAUUUUUCUGUGUGUGUGUCUGUGUGUGUUUGUGGUGUACUGUCGUGUUGAAGACUCUCAUUAUGUUUUUGUGUAGCUGUUUCUCUAUGGGUUUCUAUUUGUGUCUAUGCAAUUGUGUCCAUCUGUGCUUUGGUGUAUCUCUGUAUUGGUGCCUGUCUACGGGUUUGCAUCUAAAUGAUUUGUGUGAUGUCUUUCUGCUUCUUUUUUGCAUGUCAAUUUAUGCAUGGCUUUGUGUUUCUUCACAGAGAGGGAUUGGGAGAGAGGAGUUACCCUCUCUCUUGCAGAGAGACUUGUUCAGCCUUGUGGUGAGGAGACAAGAGGCACUGGUCCCAGCCUCGUGAAGGAGUCAUGCUUCCUCGCUGUAUGUUCUUGGGCAAGUUGCUUCACCUCACCGUGCCUCAGUUUUCUCAUCUCUUAAGUAGGGAUAAUAACAUUACCUGCUUUAUAGGGUUGUUGCGAGGAUUCAUGAGUUAAUCCGUGUAAAGUUUUCAGUAGAAGACCUCUAAGUAGUAUGUGUUCUGUAAAUGUUAACUGUUGAUGAUAAUAAUGCAUGGUGCUAAUGUGUUUAUAUAGUAAGUAUAUAAUAAGUGUUUAAGCAGUAGCUAUUUUAAUGUUAUAUAAUAAGUGCUUAAGCAGUAGCUAUUUUAAUGUUACGAUCUCUCAUAUAAUCUCUCUUUCCUCACCUUGUCCUCCGACAGGCACCAGGCUCUGACUUGAGCCACGAUUGAUGGAGGCCCGAUGCUCCAUGAAAGUUGAGUGCUGGAGAUGUAGUAGAAGGUUGCCUAGCAACAGAGGUGUUAGGGUAGAUGGGAGCAAAUCCCUCAGUGGUUCCUGAGAGGAGGAAUGUGGGCAGGAUUGGACCUAUUUGAGGCAAAAUGGGAGGAGACUGACACGGGCCACCCUGGGAGUCAGACUGAGGAAUUUCUCAGUCCUGCUCCCAGAGCUUCUGGACAUAUUCCAUGUCUUUCUUUUCUCUUCUGCUUCUCACCUUCUCUUCCUUCUUCUCCUUUUCCUCCUUCCCUCUUCCUCCUCCUCCUUCCUCUUCUUUUACUAUGACUGUUAUUACUGAUAAUAAUAACAGCUAACCUUCUGAAGUGCCUCAUCGGUGCCAGGCACUGUCCUAAGCGUUCUGCAUGAACACACGUAAGCCUCACAACCCUAGGAGAUGCUCCUACUACUAUUCCACCUGACAGAUGAGGAAAUACCAAGAAGCCAGCUGGGAUUCUGGGGUGGAUAUUUCUCCCUGAGAAGAACACAGACGGCAAGGAGGGAUGCUCUUUUCUGCUCGAACGUGCUGGUGCCAGGACAAGAUGCUUGGAGCUGCCCCAGCUAUGAUAAGGUGCCAAUUUCCUUCCAGCAUUCCAGCAUUCCUCGCCAGACUCUCUGUCUCCCUGGAGGAGCCCCGAGAUGAAGCGGGAAAGUGGAAGACUUGAAAGAUUAGAAGAUGCAAGAGAAAAGGCCACGUGAGGACACAGUGAGAAAGCACUCAUUUGCAAGCCAGAAAGCGAGCUCUCAGGAGAAACCAACCUACCAGCACCUUGAUCUUGGAUUUCUAGCUUCCAGAAUUAUGGGAAAUACAUUUCUGUUGUUUAAGCUACCUUUUGGUUAUCGUGAAUAACGCUGCUAUGAACACAGGAUAUAUUACAUUUAUACAAUGUGUCUCCUCUCGACUGCAACAAUUUCUCAGACCCUCCUUGUUUUGAAUGACCUUGACCAUGUUGAGGAUUACCGGUCAGGUCCCUCAGUUGAGUAGUCACUUUAGAGUGUGUGGGCUGAAAAAACAAUGCGCCACGUGGGAACUGUGAGUCAAGUUUUAUUUGGGGCAAAAUGAGGACUGUAGCCCUGGAGAUAGCAUUUCAGAGAGCUCUGAGAAACUGCUCCGAAGAGGCGGGGGGAAGGUCAGUACAUAUGGAUUUUGGUGAAGGGUGCGUGGGUCCAUGCCAUCAACCACACAUUAUUGCAGAAGGUUUCUGCUAGUCACAGGGAGCAGACGUCACCAUGAAGGAUUUCAGUGCUUUUCUAGAUAUGAGGAGUUGCAAGAAUUGGGCUCCUAAAAUCUUCUCCUGAAAAUCUCUAACUCUCUGAAGACCUGUUCUGCCAGUUCUCCCCAGAGCACAGAGCGCCUCAUUCCUGGUCUCCUCCCUGAGCUCCUUUCAGGGCAUGUGGAAGGUCAGCAGGGGCAGCAGCUCAUGAUCGAAUCCUUGUAGAGGUAGCUGGCAGGUGCCAAUUUGAGGUUGGCAGGUGCAUCCUUUAAAAAAAUGUCAUCCGUCUUGUUUCAGAGCAUGGGUGCCAUGGGGGUUCAGCUGAAGCUUUUUAAUCAUCAUUCUCUGGAGGCAAUCUCAUUCAACUGGAGGCAAGCCCUCUGGCGUUUCCUCGUGUUACCGCGUCCAAGCUUGUUCUGCUCCACGCACGACAGGCCAAUAAAUCGGGAGGUGUUGGAACAAGGAAUAACAACU